AUACUUUGGUUUCUCUUCAUAUCGAAUAAAUCUUUCGUUUUUUUUUUUUUUUACUAAAGAUUUCCGUAGAGAGAAACAAGCAUGAGUUUCAUAUGAAUAUGCUGUUCAGCAAUAACA